GCUGGGCAUGGUGGUUCAUGCCUGUAAUCUCAGCACUUUGGGAGGCUGAGGUGGGAGGAUUGCUUGAGGCCAGGAGUUGAAGACCAACCUGGCCAACAUAGCAAGACCCCGUCUCUG
rnacentral:SRP_RNA from 2 species